rnacentral:rRNA from 1 species
CCUACGGGUGGCAGCAGUGAGGAAUAUUGGUCAAUGGACGAGAGUCUGAACCAGCCAAGUAGCGUGAAGGAUGACUGCCCUAUGGGUUGUAAACUUCUUUUAUAAAGGAAUAAAACGAGGCACGUGUGCCUUUUUGCAUGUACUUUAUGAAUAAGGAUCGGCUAACUCCGUGCCAGCAGCCGCGGUAAUACGGAGGAUCCGAGCGUUAUCCGGCUUUAUUGGGUUUAAAGGGUGCGUAGGCGGAUUGUUAAGUCAGCGGUAAAAUGUCCGGGCUCAACCCGGGCCGGCCGUUGAAACUGUGGAUGUUGAGUGGGCGAGAAGUAUGCGGAAUGCUUGGUGUAGCGGUGAAAUGCAGAGAUAUCACGCAGAACUCCGAUUGCGAAGGCAGCAUACCGGCGCCCCACUGACAUUGAUGCUCGAAAGUGUGGGUAUCAAACAGGAUUAGAUACCCCAGUAGUG